UACGUAGGGUGCGAGCGUUGUCCGGAAUUAUUGGGCGUAAAGAGCUCGUAGGCGGUGUGUCACGUCGAUCGUGAAAACUUGGGGCUUAACUCUGAGCUUGCGGUCGAUACGGGCAUCACUGGAGUUCGGCAGGGGAGACUGGAAUUCCUGGUGUAGCGGUGAAAUGCGCAGAUAUCAGGAGGAACACCGAUGGCGAAGGCAGGUCUCUGGGCAUUAACUGACGCUGAGGAGCGAAAGCAUGGGGAGCGAACAGG
rnacentral:rRNA from 1 species